CCCUUAGAUGUUCUGGGCCGCACGCGCGCUACACUGACGCAUUCAACGAGUCUAAAACCUGGUCUGAUAGGGCUGGGUAAUCUUUUGAAUGUGCGCCGUGAUUGGGAUAAAUGAUUGUAAUUCUUCAUUUUCAACGAGGAAUGCCUAGUAAACGCAAGUCAUCAGCUUGCAUUGAUUACGUCCCUGCCCUUUGUACACACCGCCCGUCGCUCCUACCGAUUGAAUGUUUCGGUGAAGAUUCCGGAUAGGACUUUUUUGAUUUAUUUCAAUUCUGUCUUAAAAGCUAUCUAAACCUCAACAUUUAGAGGAAGGUGAAGUCGUAACA
rnacentral:rRNA from 1 species